rnacentral:rRNA from 2 species
UACGUAGGGGGCAAGCGUUGUCCGGAAUGAUUGGGCGUAAAGGGCGCGUAGGCGGCCUGUUAAGUCUGGAGUGAAAGUCCUGCUUUUAAGGUGGGAAUUGCUUUGGAAACUGGCGGGCUGGAGUGCAGGAGAGGUUAGUGGAAUUCCCGGUGUAGCGGUGAAAUGCGUAGAGAUCGGGAGGAACACCAGUGGCGAAGGCGACUAACUGGACUGUAACUGACGCUGAAGCGCGAAAGUGUGGGGAGCAAACAGG